UCCACCCGCCUUGGGAACCGUUUUCCUCUGCCCUGCGCGGUUGGUGCUCAGUCUGGCCACGGUCCCAGAGCUAAGGGGCCCACAGCAGCCGUGUACACCGGUCGGCUUCCUCCCUUGCCCCAGAACACACUUCGUUUUUUCUUAGAGGAAGAGGCUUCCAGCUCUCCUGCGUUCUGCUUUCCCAUGGCUGAAGUGACUCCCCGGGGAGCAGAGAUGGGUAGACCACCCGGCCUGUGAAAGAAACUGCCCCUGGUAUGGACUUGGCAGUGUCUGGCUGCUCUCGGGUUCCUUGGGCUUUGGCUUGGCCUCCGUCCUUCGGAUGAACGUCACCCUGAUCAACUCAAUCUUCCUGAACUCAUCGGCAAGCCAGGGGUCGGAGGAGGCCCUCUGAGCAGCCUUGGGGUUCACCCAGGGUCCUCUCUGUUGUGGCGUCCUGGAGAGAAAGCCCUACUAGGUGCGCGUAGUAUCCUCAAAGCUGGGCAUGGUGGGUGUCUGUGCCUCUGGGAGUUGCCACUCAGGGGCGGUUCCCUGCGCGCUCUGCGGGGAAGCUCACUCUAUGAACUAAGGCUGCCGGCCCGACACUGAGGGGGUGCGCGAAGCCCACAGCCAACCCUGUCUUGAUGACUUGUGAAGCAGUACCAUCCUUCUGCCUCCAUGUCCAGCGGGGACCCGAGGGGAACUCUGAGCCUUGAGGCCUGGGAGCUCGCCCUUGACCUGGUCUCUGCUCAACGCUGGUCAAGGCUCUGCCUGGAGUUCCCGCUGCUGUUGCUCCUUAAAUGGACUCACUGGGCGUUGGGGGGGUGGGGAAGGGAAGCUCAUGUUGACAUUCCAAGUCCCAACUUGAGGGAAGACGGUUGCCCGGCCACAGGUACCCUGUGACCAAAUAUACGUUGAAACUCCUGACCCGCCAAAUUCUAGAAUGUAUAGAAAGAGAUGAGCCCUGUCAAGAGUGGCUCAAAAUGGAGCCGACAUGGUGGGUCCUAAUCCAGUUUUACUGGUGUCAUAAGGUGACUAGUCUCCACAGAGGGUUCCCAGGGGCACAUGGGCCCACUGGGGAAACACGGAGAGGGCCAUCUUUAGGCCCAGGAGGUGGGGUCAUAUCGGACCUUCGGAGAGCUGACUAGGGCUUUGCCUUCACGGAUGCAACCACCCACGAAUUCAAUGGAUUAAUUCAGUGUCUUAGUAUCGGGUCUGCUGUAAAGGCCAGUUUGGUUAGGUCUUAAGACUGUUUCCCUAUACUGCCUAGGGAUCCCUUGACCGUGUACCAGAGCCACAAGCCAAAACAAUAACUUGCCCAAGCUGUGGUAGUAUUGUGUUAAUAGCAACAGAAAUUGCACUCAGACAAGUGUUAAAAUUCAUAUCCCAGGAUCAUAUCUGGAUACCGGGGACUCAGAAAAUGCCUUUCUCAUACUUCUCUGUAAAAUAAAAGACUGGAAAAAGUGGCUGACA